GGUCCAUUAGCUCAGUUGGUAGAGCACUUGACUUUUAAUCAAGUUGUCCCGCGUUCGAGUCGCGGAUGGAUCACCA
rnacentral:tRNA from 1 species